rnacentral:lncRNA from 1 species
AUUACAUGUAUUCUUUUUAGAAAAAACAUUAACGAGAAUAAUUUAAAUUUUGAAAAGUUUAAAAAAAAUGCUUUUGAAAUAAUUGAGUAUAAAGAUAAAAUAAUAAGAAUGUUAUGUGCUAUAUUAGAAGUACAAGGAACUACUACUAUAAAUAUUAAAGAGUUUAUAUCAAACUUAAGUACAACAGAUCAAAUGAAAGAUCUCUUAUUUGAUAGCUCUGAAAACGACUUAAAAUCAAAUAACAAAAAAACGUCCUCUAGAAAAAGAACCCUAAUAACUAUUCCUAAGUUCAAAAAAUUAAAAAAAAAAAAUGAGCUAAAUAUAUUUUCAAGCCCAAAUAAAAUAAAUGACGAGUUAAAUAAAGAAAAGAAUUUUUCUGAUUCUAUUCUAAGUUCUUAUAAAUUAUUUUUAACCGAAAAACAAAAUGAAAAUAAAAUAGAAAAAGAACAGAUAAAUGAUGAGACUUUUUCUGACAUACAAAAUAUAUCAAAAGAAAAUUCCGAUAUCGAAACAGAACUAAAUCUAAAUAAAACUGGCAGUGUAUCUUUGAUAAACUCUAAAUCAAAUAAGAGUUUUAUUGACAGCCAUAAAAAGGCAUUAGAAAAUUUCCAAAAGGAUGAUGCAAAUUUUGAAUGUACAUAUAAUUGUAAAAGCGAAAAAGGACAAAAAAGUUCUAACUUAAGCACAAAAAUUAAUGAUUUAAAUGUUGAACAAUGUCAACUGUGUUUAAUGCCUAAUACGGAAUCGCUACAUGGAAAUUUCCCUCCCCUCUUUUAUAAACUAAGUUGUGGCCACGUUUUUCAUUUAAUGUGUAUCUAUGAAACUGUUAUAAGAAGGGAAUGUAGAAAGACUUGUUGUAUUUGUCAUACUGACUUGAGUGAAGCAGAUAAAAAUGAAAUUGUAAACAAAGUUAAAUGGGAAAAAAAGGAAAAUGAAAAAAGAAGCAAACUUUUAUUUAAAGUAAUGAAAUUACAAGCCGAAAACAAUAAUUAAAAAUAAACAAAUAAAUAAGAAACCA